UUCAGGUGUGGCAGUGUUAGCAGAGUUUACCAAGAUCUGUGCAUCUGUUCUGGACCAGUGGCGUGCUGGCUCCUGCCAGCUGAAAAUUUGGCGCCCACCGUUAUAUAAUUCCCAACAUUUGUGUCGAGGGGAGAGGGAAAUUUUCCAAACAUCCUUUAUAAGACCGUUCCUGCACCCAUUUGUCCGAUUUUUAAGUCGAAUUGACAAUAUUAAAUCUUGGUUUCAUUUCAUGCAGUUAAGGCACCCCCUAUUCCCCUAAAAUCCUGCUUUUGCCCCCCCCCCCCUAAAAUCCCUCACCUCCUGCCAGCACGCCACUGUUGUGUAGAAUUCUAGGAGAUACAGUAUCGUGACAAAGUACCCUGAUUCAGUAGCCAACGUCCAGAUUCCAUGCAGAACUCGGGCAUUUAUAAAGUUCAGCAGAAGUAACUGGUUUUGAUCUGUGAUACAGUCCACGAAAGUCCGGCAUUUUUAAUCCCUUCUCUAAUGGAUACACAGGGAUGAAAUUCCGAAUUGGUGUUUACUUAAUGAAAUUCAGUUAUUGUAAAAUUUACCUAAAAAUUCUAAGAGUAACGUUGUGCAUUGACAAAACAGUUUUAAUUAACUAAAAAUGUGUAAAUAGGUAGAAUUUGAAAAAUAAACAAGAUAUAUUUUA
rnacentral:lncRNA from 1 species